rnacentral:rRNA from 1 species
GAGAGGGAGCCUGAGAAACGGCUACCACAUCCAAGGAAGGCAGCAGGCGCGCAAAUUACCCACUCCCGGCACGGGGAGGUAGUGACGAAAAAUAACGAUGCGGGACUCAUCCGAGGCCCCGUAAUCGGAAUGAGAACACUUUAAAUCCUUUAACGAGUAUCCAUUGGAGGGCAAGUCUGGUGCCAGCAGCCGCGGUAAUUCCAGCUCCAAUAGCGUAUAUUAAAGUUGUUGCGGUUAAAAAGCUCGUAGUUGAAUUUGUGUCUCACGCUGUCGGUUCAGGGCCUGUCCCUGUUUAACUGGCAUGUUUCGUGCGGACGUC